GCGUCGCCGGGGCGGGUCCCCCUCAAAGCCCUGGGGGACUCGUGCCCGGAAGGGGGGGCGGCGCCCACAGGCUCCUUCGCUGGCAGGGCCUCCAGCUCCGUAGAAUGCGAGGGGUUUCAAAGUUGGAAGGCAGAGAAAUACAGAACUGAUGAUACAACUUUAUUUGGAAAAGGGUCACCUCCUGGUCCACAAUGGCUUCUUCCCCUGUUGGCUAGCAUGUUCAUAUUCUAGACAGCAGGUAAGAGAGAAGGCCAAAGGAGAAAAGAGAUCACGAGCCAGGAUAGCUGUUCUCAGUCAACAGAUCACAUUCCCUGAGAAAACAGAGUUACUACUGGGGAGCAUUCAUCCUUCAUUGUAUGCCAAACUCUGUGAAAAAAAAAAUGUUCCUGGAAACAGAAAAAUGAACUAUAAUAUCCUCCUUUGCUGGCAGGGGAAAUUGCCACAUGGGGAGAUUUUAUAAGUCAGAAUAUAUUCAGGAUACUCAUUGGAAAGUACCCUACUUAGUUCCUGAAUUCCUAAGAAUUUAUCAACAUGUUUAGUUUUCUCUUAUUUAGAAAAAAGCUGUUCCACACUCUCUAACCUUUACAUGCAUAAGGGAAAAGGAAUCCUGUUCUAUCACCCAUAUUUGGGGGGUCAGUUUAGGUUAUUGGAGUUUAUGUACAUAAAACCAAUGUUGGGGGAUCCCUGGGUGGCGCAGCGGUUUGGCGCCUGCCUUUGGCCCAGGGCGCGAUCCUGGAGACCCGGGAUCGAAUCCCACGUCGGGCUCCCGGUGCAUGGAGCCUGCUUCUCCCUCUGCCUGUGUCUCUGCCUCUCUCUCUCUCUCUGUGUGAC
rnacentral:lncRNA from 1 species